CCAAGCAAAGAACUGGAGAACAGUCCAUGGUCAUCAAAGAGCAUCCAGAGUCCAGGGAGCCUAACACAAGUCCACUUGGGCAAUACUAUGCCUCCCCCUUGCCAAUCUGCAACUAUGGACACCGACAAAAACAUAAAUAGGUACUCUUCAGCGAAAAGAAGCAUCCAAUUUACAGAAGAUGGAGCCACCAACAAAGAGGGUCAACAACAGGAAUAUCUUCAGGAUACACAAGUGCAUCUCCAGGUUGUCAAAAAGCAUAAGCAAGAAU